rnacentral:rRNA from 1 species
UCCUACGGGGGGCAGCAGUGGGGAAUAUUGCACAAUGGGGGAAACCCUGAUGCAGCGACGCCGCGUGAGUGAUGAAGUAUUUCGGUAUGUAAAGCUCUAUCAGCAGGGAAGAUAAUGACGGUACCUGACUAAGAAGCUCCGGCUAAAUACGUGCCAGCAGCCGCGGUAAUACGUAUGGAGCAAGCGUUAUCCGGAUUUACUGGGUGUAAAGGGAGCGCAGACGGCAGGGCAAGUCUGAAGUGAAAGCCCGGGGCUUAACCCCGGAACGGCUUUGGAAACUGGCCGGCUGGAGUGCUGGAGAGGCA